rnacentral:rRNA from 1 species
GACGAACGCUGGCGGCGUGCCUAAUACAUGCAAGUAGAACGCACAGUUUAUACCGUAGCUUGCUACACCAUAGACUGUGAGUUGCGAACGGGUGAGUAACGCGUAGGUAACCUGCCUGGUAGCGGGGGAUAACUAUUGGAAACGAUAGCUAAUACCGCAUAAUAUUAAUUAUUGCUUGAUAAUUUAUUGAAAGGUGCAAUUGCACCACUACCAGAUGGACCUGCGUUGUAUUAGCUAGUAGGUGAGGUAACGGCUCACCUAGGCGACGAUACAUAGCCGACCUGAGAGGGUGAUCGGCCACACUGGGACUGAGACACGGCCCAGACUCCUACGGGAGGCAGCAGUAGGGAAUCUUCGGCAAUGGACGAAAGUCUGACCGAGCAACGCCGCGUGAGUGAAGAAGGUUUUCGGAUCGUAAAGCUCUGUUGUAAGAGAAGAACGGGUGUGAGAGUGGAAAGUACACACUGUGACGGUAUCUUACCAGAAAGGGACGGCUAACUACGUG